rnacentral:tRNA from 1 species
GACUGCUUGGCGCAAUGGUAGCGCGUCGACCUCCUACUCCUCGGAGUAAGUUAGUCGAAGGUUGCGGGUUCGAGUCCCGUGGUGGUCG